AUAAAGGUCAAGCGCUGGCAAUCUUCUUCAAUAUUCUUUUGGAGAUAGAGCGUCUUGUUUGACUGGUUAUGGGCCCUGGUUAAAAACUUGGCACUGAGCUUC
rnacentral:snoRNA from 1 species